rnacentral:lncRNA from 1 species
GUUGGGGCAUUCCAGGUUUUGGUAGUAUCUUCCCUGGAUGGGGUAUCCCUAUUGGUGGUGGUGGGCCUGGAGUUGGUGCACCAGGAAUGGGCAAGCCUGGUGGUGACGGACCCGGAGGUGGUGGCGGACCCAAAGGUGGUACAGGGUCUGGUGGUGGUGGACCCGUAGGUGGUGGUUAUGGAGGCGGGCCUGGAGGUGGUGCAGGGCCUGGUGGUGGUGCAGGUCCUAGUGGUGGCGGAUCCGAAGGUGGUGCAGGUCCUGGUGGUGGCGGACACGAAGGUGGUACAGGACCUGGUGGUGGCGGACCUGUAGGCGGCGGUUACGGAGGCGGGCCCGGAGGUGGUGCAAGUCCAGGUGGUGGUGAAUCUGGAGGUGGUGCAGGACCUGGUAGUGGCGGUUAUGGAGGUGGGCCUGGAGGUGGUGCAGGGUCUGGUGGUGGUGGCGGGCCCGGAGGUGGUACAGGGCCUGGUGGUGGUGGUUAUGGAGGUGGGCCUGGAGGUGUAGGGCCUGGUGGUGGUGGCGGACCUGGAGGUGGUGCAGGUCCUGGUGGUGGCGN